rnacentral:rRNA from 1 species
CCCUUAGAUGUUCUGGGCCGCACGCGCGCUACACUGACGAAUGCAACGAGCUUAUAACCUUGGCCGAAAGGUCUGGGUAAUCUCCAAAUUUCGUCGUGAUGGGGAUAGAUUAUUGCAAUUAUUAAUCUUCAACGAGGAAUGCCUAGUAAGCGCAAGUCAUCAGCUUGCGUUGAUUACGGCCCUGCCCUUUGUACACACCGCCCGUCGCUCCUACCGAUUGAAUGGUCCGGUGAAGCGUUCGGACCGUGGCCUUUGGACGGUUCGCCGUCUGUUGGCUGCGGGAAGUUCGUUAAACCUUAUCAUUUAGAGGAAGGAGAAGUCGUAACA